rnacentral:rRNA from 1 species
AAGAGACAGCAGUCGCCGCGGGAAUACAGAGGGUGCAAGCGUUAAUCGGAAUUACUGGGCGUAAAGCGCGCGUAGGUGGUUUGUUAAGUUGGAUGUGAAAGCCCCGGGCUCAACCUGGGAACUGCAUCCAAAACUGGCAAGCUAGAGUACGGUAGAGGGUGGUGGAAUUUCCUGUGUAGCGGUGAAAUGCGUAGAUAUAGGAAGGAACACCAGUGGCGAAGGCGACCACCUGGGCUCAUACUGACACUGAGGUGCGAAAGCGUGGGGAGCAAACAGGAUUAGAUACCCCGGUAGUCCCUGUCUCUUAUAC